rnacentral:rRNA from 1 species
CCCCAGUAACGGCGAGUGAAGCGGGAAGAGCCCAGCACCGAAUCUCCCGCCUGCGGGCGGCGCGAACUGUGGUGUUUGGGGCGGUCUUCGGAGCGUGCGGCGGGCGUCCGAGUCCUCCUGAUUGGGGCUUCGCCCGGAGCGGGUGUCAGGCCUCUACGGCCCCCGCCGUCGCUCCCUCGAGCGUCCCCGGAGUCGGGUUGUUUGAGAAUGCAGCCCAAAGCGGGUGGUAAACUCCAUCUAAGGCUAAAUACCGACACGAGUCCGAUAGCGGACA